UAGUUGACCGUCUGCGAAAUAAUUAGUCGCAAUUCAGCAUUGGCGACUAAUAAGGUUUUUGUUGUUUUCCUUUUUAUUUGACCUUUCGUUUUUUAUUUCAAACUUUAUUCUGUGAAUUUCGAUGCCGGCACACCAAGCUGACAGCCUUUGGGAUAAAAUUUAUUUGUUAAAUAUUGCAAAGCGAAGUUUUCUUCCUGGUGUUAGUAUUUUGGAGUCGUUAUGUUAUCGAAAAUCAGUAAUAAACUGAGGCAUUCUGAGAAACCAUUACUAUGAGACUGAAAAAUGUAUUACAAGGUGGGUUAGUAAGAUAUCCUGCUCUUGAGGAAGCAACUAAUCGCUUUGUGGCUGUACUAAUAAAUCUGUGGCUGUACUAGGUCUACUAGGAAGGAUAGUGGGUGCCUUUUAGUCGGAAUUCAUCUUUUUUGUUGACUUCAGGUCAUAGUCUUUGGUAACUUCAUGGUGCAUCAAUGACAAACGGCAGAGCUGCGCAUUACCGUGACAAGGUUUUCUGUGAUGAGAGGAAUCCCAUUACUCAAAGGCCCAUUACUCAAAGGUUCCAUUCAUAGCACUGAUUGGCCUAGAUAUCCUUUUGGCUCGGAGGUAUGGGUAUCAUUUAAGAGAGAUCUCACUCGAUAAGGACAUUCCAAUGUCCCAGCAGAAGAGUGACGUAUUUCAGAAGUAC